ACUGCGUCGUGCAAAAUAAUACAAAACGGCCGUCACAGUUAAAGAGAUAUCACCAAUACUAUUAUCAAAAUUACCAUAAAAAAUAUGUAUUGAGCACCACAAUGACUGUGUUUACAAUUCAUCGUUGGCAAAAAUUAUAAUUAUUGUCUAGUUAAAAUAACAAAAAUGUGUAAACAUGGACAAAAAUCUUAAAAUAGCACGUUCGUAUUUAGUUGAAUUUUGAUAGUAAACUGUUACAUUUUUUCACAAACUUUAAUGAAUAUCAAUCUAUAAUAAUCAUACUACAAUUUGUCGUUUUAAAAUUUUCGAAAAUGUAGCUUGGUUAUUUUAGACAUUAUUUUGUUUAAAAUUGGGCCGCUGCGCGCCCUGUUUUGAAUCAUACGCAACGUACACCGGCCGAAAGUUCAGUCGUCCACGAGAGCUCGGAGAGUGGUCACGUCUCAUCGGGAAGCGACGCGCCGAUAACGAUACUUCGCGAUCUAUUGUGUACUUAUACCUUGCCAAACGCAAACGCAAACUGUUGAAUAAGUGAAAUGGGAAAGCUUAAGGAAAAAAAUUAUAAGAAGAAAGUUGGCGCUAAUUUACGAAAAAAAAAAUGUUCUCGGAAAAAGUACGUAUUUCUUUUUUUUUAUAACGGAUAUAAUCUUUUCUUCAAUUUUUGACAAACAUUCGUUAUGGGUAUCGUGUAAUAGGUUUUUGGGGGUGGCGAUUGCAAAUCUGACAUCAAUUUUAAAAUUCAAGAUGGCGGAUGCUAGUUUUUGUCAAAUAUUCGAUAUGGGUAUCGUGUAAUAGGUUCUUGGGGGCGGCGAUUGCAAAUCUGACAUCAAUUUUAAAAUUCAAGAUGGCGGAUGCUAGUUUUUGUCAAAUAUUCGAUAUGGGUAUCGUGUAAUAUGUUCUUGGGGGCGGCGAUUGCAAAUCUGACAUCAAUUUUAAAAUUCAAGAUGGCGGAUGCUAGUUUUUGUCAAAUAUUCGAUAUGGGUAUCGUGUAAUAGGUUUUUGGGGGCGGCGAUUGCAAAUCUGACAUUAAUUUUAAAAUUCAAGAUGGCGGAUGCUAGUUUUUGUCAAACAUUCGAUAUGGGUAUCACGUCAUAGGUUUUUGGGGGUCGCGAUUGCGAAUCUGACUUAAGUUUUAAAAUCUUUUACC
rnacentral:lncRNA from 1 species